GUGGAGAUAGGGUUUUGCCAUGUUCCCCAGGUUGGUCUUGAAUUCGUGAGCUCAAGUGAUCCACACACCUCGUCCUCCCAAGGUGUUAGGAUUAUAAGCGUGAGCCACCGCGCCCGGCCUUAUUUUUCUUUUCUUUUGGGUAAUUGGUGCUUUCUAACUUUCCAGCACUUAGACUCACAGGAUAUUAGUUAUCUAUUGCUGCAAAACACAGUACUUCAAAACUUAGCAUUUUAAAACCAACAUUUAUUAUCCCACAGUUUCUAUGGGUCAGGAGUAUAGGAGUAGCUUAGCUGGGUGCCUCUGGUGCAGGGUCUCUUGAGGUUGCAGUUAAGCUGUUGGCUGGGGCUAUAUCUGAAAGUUUUACUGGGGCGGGGGAUGAUGUGCUUCCAAGUUCACUCCCCUGAGUGUUGGGAGGAGGACUUAGUUUUGUGCUUUAUGGGCAUCUUUCUGGUUUAUGUUUGUUACCUGGUGUCUAGAGCGAAAUACUGGGCGCUUUCCCUCUAGCAUGAUUGUUUUGUUUUUUCUCUUAUUUAGAUGAAAACUUACGUGAAUUUUAAUGUAAACCCCACCCGCAUUGUGGUCUCAGGGGCCUUUUAGAAAAUGAAUAGAAUGUACACAGAGGCAAAAAUUUUAGCCUGUGACCUUUCGAAGAAUUUUCUGAGUGAAACUAGAAACAAAUUAACCAUUGUUCACAGAGUGCAUUGCUUCAUGUUAUGCCUUCUUUUGCUAAAUCCUCUUGUUUGUUGAAAUCUUUUAGCUUAAGUUGCUGAUAGUUUGUUACUAGAGAUCAUAAUUAAAAGGUGAUUAUAUUUCUUCAUGCAGUUUAGCUUUACAUUUCAUCCAUUAUACCCAAAGACAUGUAUAAUAUAGCAUGAAAUUUUAAAAAACGGGGUUUUUUUUUCUCAAUUGUGUAAAAGUAAUGUAUCUAAUUGAAAAGAAGAGAAACUUGUAAACAUUUAAAAAAAUCUUCUUAUUCUUACCUCUCAAAUACAGUGACCUCAUAUUUUUAAUAUUCAAGGUUUUUUCCUCCUCAUUCUAGGCAUAAUUAUUAUAUGUGUUCCAAUAUUACUUUCUUGUGAAAAAAUGUAGUUACAAAUGUGAUCUAAUUUCAUUUUGUACUUUAAACAUUAUUAAUGAGAUGAUCAUAUUUUUAUAUAUUUAGUGAUCACUUUGAAUUGCCCCUUAUUUCUUGAACAGUUUUUCUAAUAAAUAUUCUUAUUAAAAGAUAAAACAACCUUAUCUAGUUAUGAAAACUUUUUGGUAGCAAAUUAUAUGUACAUUCUUUUACCCCGUUUGUUUGUUUCUUUGCUAGCACUGUCUGUUACAGAAUUUAUACAUUUUCUUGAGGGCAAAUAUUAGUGUUUUUAUUAUAGGUACUGUGUGUUUGUCUUGCUUAGGAAAGUCUUUCUCACUUCAUUGUGAUUAAAUUAUUCUUUAGUAUUUGUCCUGAGAGUUUUCUGGCCUUUUUUCUUAAUCACACACACACACACUCACUCUCUCUCUCUCUCUCUCUCUCACACACAUACACACAUU